AACCUCUGGCAAUGGGCAAAGAGACAUCUCACUGGUGUUGUUCCUGUAUCUGUCAGGGACAAAGCAGUUGGUUCCUUGUUCAUCCUAGCUUCAUGCCUGGGUUUGGCCAGAGCUUUUUCCUGCUUGGGGCACAUAA